rnacentral:rRNA from 1 species
ACGCACGUGUGAAACUUGAAGGAAUUGACGGAAGGGCACCACAAGAACGCGUGGAGCAUGUGGCUUAAUUUGACUCAACGCGGGAAAUCUUACCGGGUCCGGACACACUGAGGAUUGACAGGCAAUAUUAAAUAAAGAAAANUUUUGGACUAUCUGAUAUUUAUGUUAAAUAUGCUAGUCCUUUCAUGAUUAUGUGAUAG